UACGUAGGGUGCAAGCGUUGUCCGGAAUUAUUGGGCGUAAAGGGCUCGUAGGCGGUCCAUCACGUCGGGAGUGAAAAGCUGGGGCUUAACCCCAGUCCUGCUUCCGAUACGGGUGGACUAGAGGUAGGCAGGGGAGAACGGAAUUCCUGGUGUAGCGGUGAAAUGCGCAGAUAUCAGGAGGAACACCGGUGGCGAAGGCGGAUCUCUGGGCCUUACCUGACGCUGAGGCGCGAAAGCUAGGGGAGCGAACAGG
rnacentral:rRNA from 1 species